rnacentral:misc_RNA from 1 species
UUAGUUCACCGUCGGCGGCCUUUUAGCCUCUAUGCCAUUCGAUUCGAUGUAAAGUUGGGCUGCGGUGCAGUAAUAGAUGGUCGAGUUGAUGGCAUCUUGGUUAGAUCGACGCGUUGACGCGUGAGUGGCUAAUCUAACGUUUGUGUUGACUGGCUCUCUGCUUGUGCAGCGAACGGUCGGUGCUUGCGUAUUUCAGUCGUGUCAGAGUUGGUGUGAGUCAGAUUUUUUGUGUUGGCAACCCGAUUGAAGGAAUUCUUAUGUCCCGUAUGCAUGACUCUGCCGAGUUCCUCUUUGAGGUACUCGGCGGACGGUGAAGCUGCCCCUUUUUCGACUUGCGCUCCCUUUUCGGGAACCAUGUAAAACGGUUGUGGUGAUGCCUUUUGCCUCGGAUGCAGAGCAUGAAGCGAGCCGGGUGAUGCUUGUCGUCAUCCGUCCGUUCAGAGCUCUCGGUUGCUUGGAAAGAGAGACCGCCGCGCUUGGUUUUGGCUGUCGACUCGUCGAUUCAGCCCGAAACCUUGCCCGACGUCUUCAAUGAAUGCUACCUGGUUGAUCCUGCCAGUAGUCAUAUGCUUGUCUCAAAGAUUAAGCCAUGCAGGGUGGUAAAGUAA